AUACGUAGGGGGCGAGCGUUGUCCGGAAUUAUUGGGCGUAAAGGGUACGUAGGCGGUUUAGAAAGUCAGAUGUUAAAGCGUGAGGCUCAACCUCAUAAAGCAUUUGAAACUUCUAGACUUGAGUAGUGGAGAGGAAAGUGGAAUUCCUAGUGUAGCGGUGAAAUGCGUAGAUAUUAGGAAGAAUACCAGUGGCGAAGGCGACUUUCUGGACACAAACUUACGCUGUGGUUCGAAAGCGUGGAGAGCAAACAGGAUUAGAUACCCUGGUAGUCCACGCUGUAAGCGAUGAAUGUUAGGUGUCGGGUGUCAAAGCUCGGUGCCGCAGUUAACGCAUUAAACAUUCCGCCUGGGGAGUACGAUGGCAACAUUGAUACUCAAAUGAAUUGACGGGG
rnacentral:rRNA from 1 species